CGGGAAACAUAGAGCGAGCGGGAAGGGGGGCGCAGAGGCGGCGGGGUCCCACAGAGAGAGGGCGGCAGCGUCUCUGGCUCUGACUUAGGCUCGGUCCAGCGCGGAGCUCAGGGGCUGUGCUGACAGCCCGGCCCUGCCCUGGAGCCAGCCGCUCCCAAACUGUCUCUGUUCGGGCCCUCAGUGCCGUGAGCCCAGCGCCCUGUGCAGACGGGCGUCCUUGUGACAAACCGCCGUGACUAGUCGGUGCCAGUCCCGCCCCGGUAGCCUGCCUCAGUGGGGGUAGGGGUAAAGCCUGAACAGGCCCUGGAGCCCGAUCCCUGCAGAUCGGGGUGAGGUCACACAGGCCUCGUCUAGGGUGUGGCAUUAGCUAACAUUUGCUACCUACCACAUCUGAAGGUCUAGUGUAGCCCCACUGGAGCUCUCUGUGCCCAUUUGACAGAUGCCUCCAGGACUGCGAGGACCACACCUGGAGCUAGAGCUAAGGUCUCACACGUACCGCAUUUCAGCUCUUUGCAUUUAAAAAAGUCCCCUCGUCUUUGACACAUAAAACAUUCCUGCUGAAAAUGAUGCAACCCAUAGGAUGUUUUACGUUGCAUGUCAGUGACAGAGUGUGCUAGGGUGAUGGGAAGGCAAAUUCCAAGUCCAAGUGCUUUUGGGUCUGCGCUGUAUGCUUGUAAUGUUUUCUUUCUCUCCCCACCACAAUAUACUGUUAAAGUGUGUACAGUGAAAUUGAUACCAUAUCAUUGACUGAUGCAAGCUAAAGAAAUAACUUUCAAAAAAACACUUGGCCCCAAGUAGAAAGUAGCUUGAACUAUUGCAUGAAUCCUAGGAACAACUUGCAGGCUUUUUAUGGCCACAGAAUCGGUUUUAGAACAAUAGCAACAAACUUUUGUUUAUAUCAAGGACCUCAGCUUGGUUGGUAUCUUUGAUAGACAAGGAGAUAUGCCUAUCUAAUGUAUUCAGGCACAUAUACCCAGCCCCUUGCUGUGGUAUCUUAGUGCCUAAUUAGUAUAUUUGCAUACCUUUUGUAUUAAGAAUAAAUUCAAAUAAAUGUGUAGUAAUUUGUACUUUUA